UCAUCGUAUGGAUGGAUUUAAGUUAUAUGUGACCAAUACAUCAACUAUUCCACCUAAUGGUUAUCUAUGUUAUGAAGAUCCUGAUCCUGGUCUCCCAAACAUCACUCAGACUAUUCCCUGUAAACAACUUGGAAAAUAUGUCAUUUUUUACGAUGAUAGAGGAUCGGAUGAAGUUUGUACUAUUUUCGGACCUGUUGUUGAGUUAUGUUACAUUGCUAUCGAUGGAUGGCCAAAAGGUAUGUGGGGACAAAACUGUUCCAAGAAUGUUCAUCAAAGUGUAUAGACCUACACUGUCAUCCUGAAAAUGGUUCCUGUGUUUUUGGAUUUGACCCACAACAAUGUUUAAAUCAAACCUGUAAUAAUCACACAGAUACAUGUACUGUAGGAUGUGCAUCUGAAUUGUUAAGUCUACUCCCUUAUGGUUUAUAAGUAACAGCUAGAUACACAGAAAUGUUAUAACUCUCAUAUGGAGUCUCGAGAUCUCUUCUGCCAUACUUGAACAGAACAUUCAGAGUAUAAAUGAUCAAAGAAAUACAAUGUAAGGGAAAUAACUGAAAAAGGAAAAAAAUGUACAGUAACACAGGAUUAAUUACAUAAGCGUAACCACUGUUCGAAAAGCAUGUGCAAAAAAUGUUAACAUCAAAAGAUGACAGAUGAAAAAAAAGUACUAAAUUAAAAGGUCUUUCCACAUAAACGUGGACAGAACUAAUUAAUAUAUUGCUCUGCUAUCGUUUUAUCUACAUACACAAACAUAAUAAACUUUAUGAUAUAUCACCUACAUGUUUAUUUCUUUAUGUAUGUCGUUUUAUUGAGUUAUUUAUACAUGUAUGUGCUUUUUGCAUUGAUAUGAAAUUGUUACCUACAUUUAUUAUUUAUCAUAUAUUAUUAUAUUCACGUCUAUUUAUACAAAUAUGAAUUAUAGAUAUAUUAGUAUAUAACUACACUCAUGAUAUAUUAUGCAUAUACAAUAUAGACGCCAUUUCCUUAUGCGAUGUCAAUUACAUUUUAUGUCGUUGUUAUCUUAUUGCUAAAAAAUAAUGUUUGAAUGCUUUUUUUUUGUCUCUAUGUGUCGAUAGCUUGGCUUACUUACUAUUAAGUGUAAAGUGCUCAUCAUAACUAACAUAACCUUGUGAUUUUCAUAUGCACAUAGCGUAGAUGUGUCUACAUUCACUAUAAUGAGUUUCUGUUUUAUUUAUUGGUAUCUUCCAUCGAUUGAGUAUGUGUUUUUAGUUUUUACAGUCGACAUUAGAAGUAUAAAGCUUAUUUCAUAGUUGAAACUUUCUUCUUAAUCCAGUUAAUUCCUAUUUUUUUUUUUGGCAUAUCUUAAAUGAUCAAUUAUUGAAAAGGAGUGCAAUAUGUUCAUAAUGUCUUUAAGUUCAAAAUGUUGUUCAAAUUACAGAAAGGGUAACGAAAUGAGAGUAACAACGAUAACUCAUAAAUAUCCUUGUACUGAUGUGUAUGAUUUUAGAUCCUUUUAACAUAUAUUAAAAAAAGCAAUUUACUGUCGUAAAAUGCUCAUCGCAUCUAAUUAGUUCAGCAAAUAAGUAUUAUGUUUGUUUUGCAAUGUGACUUCAUAUUUUCAAAUAGUAUAUUUUCCAUUUAUGGUUAUUUUUUAUAAUAAGUAUCACUUAAACUAUUGCUAUUCUUGUUUUCUUUUUCUUUCUUGUUAUACCUGUAAAGUGAAUUAAGAUCAGUUAUCUUCAAAUGGGAAAGUCACAAUAUCUUUAUUACAGUAAUUCUACAAGAGUGUACAACUGAAAACCCGUCAUAUGGUAUUUGCAUCUUGAUAAUUGGAUCCUUUAAUUAUACAUCUUAUCAGCCCAUUGAUGGUAAGAAAUAAUGAUAAAAAAAUACACAUGGUAUUCCACAUGCUUACUUAGUAAAUACUACUAAAAGUUUUAACAAAUUCAAUAGUUUAAUACAAUAUCUAACUGUUUUACAAUGAUGGACAAAGACCGAUAUGCAUUGAAUGAAAAGACCAACAAACCUCGUCAAAACACUUUAUACACAACUAAAAGUAAAAUUAAAGUAACGAUGAACUUAGAUGUUCUUGAGGAUACGUAUGUCCUGGUACCUGUCAUGAUAUUCUUUAAAAGUUAAAAACUGUCGUUUAUCAUAUUCCUUGACAAUUUAUGCAUAAACGGAUAAUGUCAAUGGUAGCGUUUGAGACAUGGUUUUCUUGGAUUCAAUAAAAUUUGCAGAGAAAAGAAGAUGUUUUCCGUAUUUGUAUUUUUUCGUUGUCGGAUUUUUUGUUUAAUUGAAUACAUUUUGUAUUUUUUCAUGUUUUUGUUUUAUUUAGGAGGUGCGGAAAUAACGUCAAUGAACGAUUAAUUUAGCAAAAUAAAACACCAAAAGCUAGAAAUAUAAAUAUCAGGAUACGGUUUUCACGUUACUUAAGUAUGUGUAGAAAUUUAAUCCACCACAAUGAAAGAUCGUUCUUCCAUUCUACUCCAACUAGCAUACUUUGAAAGUAUUUAAAAUAUGUUGUAUUUGUAACCGUUUUUUGUGUCGAUGCCAGGUUAAACUCACGUAAAUAAGAUACCUUAAACUUUCUUAACUUAAACUAAUAAUAUGCACGUUAUAGAAUGCUUUCAUAGGAAAAUUGUUUUUUGAAAAAAGGAACUGUAUAAUGGAAAAGUUGAAAAAAGUGAUUUUUGUCGUCUAUUUAAAUCUUAAUUUCACGAUGAUGUACCAAAAAUAAAUGUCUCAAAUCUUAAUAUUUUAUUAGAUCGAUGUUGAAUAGACUGAAUACCUGCAUUUAGAGGUGUACAAUAAGCACCCAUUAUGAUUUCGAUAAUUCGACGAUACACAUUAUUUCCAAUAUAUAUAUUUACAAAUAUUGUAAAGCAAGAAAAUGUAAAUAUAGACAUGUCUGGGAACAAUGCUGUAUAUAUCUCUUAUGACUUACUGCAAAAGAAAAAUUCAGAUAUAGUUUUAGAGCAGCCUACAAAUUAAGUCUAUCUUUUAUUAAAUCGUAUGAAUUAAUAGUUUAUCAGGAAGAACAAGUCUGUCACCUAAGUAAAUUAUUUGUUACAUAUGUCUCAAUUUGGACGCUUGUUUUAUAUGCAGUUGCAUUGAUUUUAAUUGAAAACAUGAAACCUUUAAUUUAAAUGUUAAAAUGCGUUUAAACAAACAUUUAUUAAAUAACAAGCACUUAUUAAACAACGUGGAUAUGCAGGAAUUAACAACGACACUGUCUUUGCCGGACCUGAAAACUCAUAUUAACUAUAUCUGCUUGAAAAACGUUUUAUAUCAAUUAAAGUUUCCGAAAUUAGAACAGUUAUAAAUAGAAAUAAUGUAAUUAACGAUGCAGCAAAUGUGAGGAAUUGCUUUACUCUGAACCUGAUAUUAUGAAAAUGGAAAUAUACGCUGAAGUAAAUGUUUUCGAGUAGUUCGAGAAAUGCAGAUAAGAAGCUAGAACUAUUAUUAGAAUUUGUAAGUAUUUGAUAGAAAUCUAAAUCUUAAGUUUAUGGAUUGUUAUGUCAAGAAUUGUUGCGUCAUUACAGUAGAGGUAGUUGAUCUUUAAACCACAUCAUGCACAAAAAAAAAUAUAUGGAAAAAACUAACGUCUUAACACCUAGCGUAUUGCAAGUGUGUUGAAAACGAAUACAUAGAUCAAAACGUCUCUCUUUGGUAGUUUUUGUGGACUUGUUUUUCUUUUUGUCGUCUUUCAUUUUUGCCAAUACAUUGUCAUUUUGAUUGAUUCGAAUGUUAUGUAUUGAUAAAUAUUUACCUCAUCAUUCAAUAUGUUCUAUGUGAGUUAGCAACCUACAAAAAAACACAAAACUAAUACUCGUGUUGGACUUUUGCCACGGUUUUGUUUGUUUCUCUUUGAUUUCAAAUUUUCUCUGCGGUUACUUCCGCCUGUUUUUGACUUGUAAAUAUGCUUCACACGUACACUUCGUGAUGUUCCAAUAACCGACCAUUCAUCAUACAGAAGCAAUUGUGUAUCACUAACAUUCGAUUGGAGCUAUAUCCACUACUCCAUUUGAAACUGAAUUAUAUGUGUAAAGUAUGAUAGGUAAUAAGGCUAUAAAUUGCAACUUCCAUUGAUCCAAACAUUCAUCUCUCAUCUUAAAUAUUGUUUAUAGUAUAUGUUCAGACUUGGCUACGAGAUAACACUGCAACAAAAAAAAAAAGGGAAAAUCUCUUAUUUCUUAAAAAUUAUUGUUCUUACAAAGAAUAUGAUACUAUUAAUCAAGAAAUACAUUUGUCAUCAUAAACAGUGAAAAUCUUUAACUCCUCCUUUUUUUAAAGACCAUCCUUUUCAGAUGUGAUAAAUAUGCUUUGCCUAUUGCAGCAAUAAUUUUCAAAUAACUUUUGUUGCAUGAUGUCAACACUUACAACUACGAUUUUAACAUAUUUAAAUUCUGAACUUUGUGAAUUGUAUUUAUCAAAAACACGUAUUUACAGAGGAUUGGUGCAUUCCUAUUUUCGUUUUCAUAAUUCUGACGUCGCCUUUUCAACGCCACAGAUUGGAUCCGUUUACCAGGUAAAGUAAUGUUACGCUAUUCAUAUGCGUACCAAACAAUUACAUCAAAACCAAGGGAAAAUGGAAGAUUGAAAACAAAGUAUGGCGAUUUGAAUUAUUCUCGUGUAAAAAGAAAAGAAAUAUGAACGGUUGACAUACGUUUAAAAAUUCAUUUAAGCUCCAGAAUAAUUCAGCGUGGCCAUUCAAAAACCAACCAGAGGUUUACUUAUUAUUCAUUUUUCUUCGUAUUACCAAAUCCAUUGAAGGUCAACUUGUCUGAGGGAGAUACAACAUUAGCGUCUUUUUAAUUUCAAAAUUUGUAAACGGACAAUUUUUUUUAAAGGUUUGUUAUAAUUGUGGUCAGUAUCAAAGAACUGACUACUGACCUGAUGAUACCCUCGGGAACUGAUAGUCCACCAGCAGAUGUUUUAAGUUAUGUUCAGUAUUUCAGCUAUUUUUCAGACUUAUUCACCGCGGUUAAUUCAAUACUGUUCAAAACAUUCGCGUGCAGUUGAUUAAGUAAAAUGUGUUUAGUAUUGAUAAUUAAUUCUAUUUUAUAAAUACUUUUAAACGCAAUAGGUCAGUUAUAUUUAAGGUAUCGAAUGAUUAUUAUUACAGUGGUUAUCACUCAAACGGAUACAGCUGCACCUAAAUGCUUGGAACCAAUAUAAAAUUAUAGCUAGACGGUCAUCUCCAAAACGAGCAAACAUAUUAUUAAGAAACAACCGUAUGACUUACUUCUUGAAUCAUUCCGUUCGAAGGUUAUCUGUAUGUGUUUGUUUGUUUUGUUUAUUUCCUAAAAAAAGACCAUAUAAAGACUGCAAAAUGUACGAGUUGUAUAUAGAUUUUGGAGUUAACAGCUGUCAACGGAGACAAACUAACCUGCUAGCAAAGGAAAUUGUUUCAGGAACUUUGAAGAUUUUUUUUGGAAUUAUAACCUACUAUUAAGAAUUAUACUUGAAAAAUUAAUAAAUUAUUAAGAUACUAAGGUUGCAGCUCCCCCAGUCAAAGAUGACCGUAGAUAAAUGAGGCUUUUUCUUGUAUGUCAUCUUUACGUCAUGUAUGUUCUAAAGUUUCCAAUUUUUAUACAUUGCUGGCUUGGAAAUGUUUAGGUUUGAGCAUUCCUGAAGAAGGUAACAAAGAAAAGUUUGUCGGAAGAAUGAAAUCUAAUUUAUAAACUGUAGUUAUCAUUUACUGGAUGCUAUUAGAAUCCACUUCAUCAAGAUUCUAUGUUUUAUUUAUAUCUCUGUUUUGUGUUAAAGAAUAGCUAAAUACGUCUUUUCAAUUCAUCAUAGAAUUGAAAUCUGUUUUUUAUUUUACAAUUUAAACAAAAUGAAACAGUAACAAUUACAUUUUGCAUCAAAUACGGAAGCGCUUAUAUUAAAAAUGUAAUGGUCACCUAAUUCCAUUUCGUGCCAAUUUGAAAACGAUGUAUUUUUUAUAUUUUCUGAUUUCCGAAAUAAAAAAAAGCAAAUGUUUGUUGGUGGAGCAAAUAAUGCUAGUAAAAUCAUGGGCGACAAAUAUUGUUUUCAUACAAAAUAAAAGCAUAUGACGGAACGUAUAACAGCCUAUAUAAUAUCUAAAUAUUUUCAAGUGAAUUGUGAAGGCUGUCGGAUUAAUUACGACGCCGAAUACCUUUAAAUGGUUGACCAUAUUAACAAGGUACUAAAGGUUUAAAUUGAAUUUUCGUUUGCCUUUCAGGAAAUACACGUGUUACAAGUGUACCAAACAACUAUUUGAAGGCGAUUCGUUGUAUGUCAAUGUAUAAAUGAUAUUACAAGUUUUGUGACAUUACUUUACACUGACUGUGUUCCAACUCAGGCAUAUGACAGUUGUUUUCCAUUCGUUUGAUGUGUUUGAGCUUUUAAUUUUGCCAUUUGAUAAGGGACAUUUCUUUUUGAAUUUCCCUUGGAUUUCGGAAUUUUUGUUAUUUUACUUUUUGAAAACUCGACUAAAGGAAUUCUUUUUCAUUCUUAAUUGUCAAUGUCAUGCUUGUAUUCAUGUAUUGUACUAACAAAUGCUACCCAAAACUGAUUAUAUAAACGUUGUACUAGGUGUGAAAUCUGAAAACUAUUGCUAAACACAACAUAAAUGAGAAAAUGUAAAAUUAUGAUGUUUGUUUAAUUGCAUCCAGCACAUUGCUAAAUAAUUUGUAUUUAUUUU